GACAGACAAAUCUGAUAGAAGAUUAUGUAUAGUUAAUUAAAUAAUUAUUAGAUAAUAGUUUAUUAAUAAUUAUUUAGGUAUAAGUAAGAUUUAGUAUUUUUAUUGUUAUGAGAACUUUUGUAUUAUUGGGUUGUUUAAAUGGGCUUUGUGCCUUAGGCCCAUUAGGAGUAUUAUAUAUAGGUAGUGUCUUAUGCACUUUAAACAAUAAAUGAAAAUGAAGUCUUUUAUUUAUCUUUAUUUAUUUGCAUUUCUUUAUUGUUUUCCUAGGUUUAGCUUAGUGUAGUUUGUUAGAGCCUCAACUCUCUAUCGAUUGGUGCUUUCAUUCCAUGAACUUAGUUCCUCCCAUAGCUAAGUUCAUGGAUGCUAUUCCAUCCUACUCUCCUCCAUUUUACCCAAACACCUACUCUUACUCUUCGUCUUCAACUCCUCACCCAUGUUAUUCUACUGUAACAACAGUACCAACCAUGCCACCUACACAUCAACAACACUCUCACCUUGAAUUCCCUUCAUAUCCAUAUCCAAAUUAUUCCAACUACUGCAACUAUUACCAAAACACAAGUCUACCACCCUCCACCAUCACCCACACUACCACUCAUACCUUGCAACAACAAGCCGUACAACCUCCCCAUUCAUAUUCACAACCUGCAAGUCCAAAUGCAGAAAUUGUUCAGAGAUCUUGCAAUGACAUUUUAGAAUUUAUUGAAGAAUUUCGAAAUGAGAUGAAAGAAUCAUUUCAAGAUAUCCAAGAAUCCUUUCAAGAAGUUUCUGAAUCGCUAAAAUCAUGGACAAAGAAUAUUCAGAAUGUUUUCUCCACUUUGAGACGGGAUUUACAAGAGAAAAUUGAAAAGGAGAAAAUAGAAGAACACACGGCAGAAGAACCAAAAAGGUUAGUUGAAGGCGGUGAUCUUCAAAUUAUUCAAGAACACCAAGAGAAGAAGGAGCAAGCAUCUGAACCUCACCGUGAUUUCCUAUCAAUUUCUCUGUGUCCAAAAUCACCACCAACAACACAGUUUCCUUCAACUUUGCCACCGCCGAUACCGCCGUUAAAACCACCAGACCCGCCACCUAAACCACCCUAUCUACUCAUGGUUCACUCUGUGCAUUCAUUUCCGGCUUCGCCAUCGAAACCGCCGGAACCACCACCGCUACAUCCGCCGUCUCCAAAACCACCGGAUAUGGUUAUAACUCAGUAUCUUAUUCUAGCACCACCAGAUCUACAUCUCCAGAAGGCAACUAUGGUCUACAGAAAAAUGUUUCUUGGACCAACCAUCCGUUCAUCACCACUGAACCCAUCGCCACCAUCACCACCGAAACCACCACCGUGGGAGUUGCCGUUCACCAACCCAACUCCGUUACCGCCGCCAAUACCACCAAACUUACUCAUUGUUCAGACUCCACUUCCAACUCAGGCUCAACCGCUUUCGUCAGAGACGUCUUUCACAAACCCACAUUCGCGGCCACCGCCGAAGCCGAAAUAUGAAGAUUCACUGACUGAGUUUCUACCACCAUCAUCGUAUUCCAUUUUGCAAGAGCACGUAUUUCAUCGUCACACCGACAAUUGUUUUUCACCGUCUGAUUGGAAUAUUUCUUCAACAGAUGAAUCAUGGACGUCCAUGGAAAGCACAAUCUCUUUGAUUGUGAUCUCGCCUCUAGUAGUGUGCCAUGUGUCAAGCCUACCAUACACUACAACACGUAAUGUGUUUUUGUUUCUACUGCGUAGUGGUAAUUCCACUCACCAGCUGGUGAUUUCAAAUCCACCCCAUAAUGAUAGUGACACUCCUACAAGCACUCCACGUGUUGGCACAUGCAACAAUUGGUUUCCAGCUUUAUUCACAAAAAAAUGCAAGGGCAAAAUUCAAGUGACACGCAGCAAUUGUUUUCCACAAAAACAACCAUGGGCCGCAAAGCAUUAGCCCAAUGUUUUUAUGGACAAAACUUUGUUGACAAAAAUUAUAUGUCCCAAGUCACACUCCAAUUUAAUUCAAUUGGGCCAGCUCACACUCGUCCGGCGCGUAAACCUCCAGACUAGUCGCUGAACCUCGAGGACAAGGUUCAAGUGAACCCGGCGGCAAUGAUAGAAGAUUAUGUCUAGUUAAUUAAAUAAUUAUUAGAUAAUAGUUUAUUAAUAAUUAUUUAGGUAUAAGUAAGAUUUAGUAUUUGUAUUGUUAUGAGAACUUUUGUAUUAUUGGGUUGUUUAAAUGGGCUUUGUGCCUUAGGCCCAUUAGGAGUAUUAUAUAUAGGUAGUGUCUUAUGCACUUUAAACAAUGAAUGAAAAUGAAGUCUUUUAUUUAUCUUUAUUUAUUUGCAUUUCUUUAUUGCUUUCCUAGGUUUAGCUUAGUGUAGUUUGUUAGAGCCUCAACUCUCUAUCAAAAUCACAAAAAAAAAAAAAAACUACACAUCUUUAACAACUUUACUUCUAAAUCCUACAAUUUAAUUUUUCUAUACAAAAUUGUUUCCAUAUAUUGGAAUAACUUGAAAUUUCUUCCCUUGAGGAUCCAUAUGGGACACUCCCCGUGUUUUGUGUCAAUAAUGAUAUAUUGAAAUAUGCAUCUAUCUAUAACAAAUAUAAAUGAUUAACCAAAACAAAUAUGCAAGCCACUCCUACUCUAUAUAU
rnacentral:lncRNA from 1 species